rnacentral:rRNA from 1 species
UGGGGAAUAUUGCACAAUGGGCGAAAGCCUGAUGCAGCAACGCCGCGUGAGGGAUGACGGCCUUCGGGUUGUAAACCUCUUUUAGUAGGGAAGAAGCGAAAGUGACGGUACCUGCAGAAAAAGCACCGGCUAACUACGUGCCAGCAGCCGCGGUAAUACGUAGGGUGCAAGCGUUGUCCGGAAUUAUUGGGCGUAAAGAGCUCGUAGGCGGCUUGUCGCGUCUGCCGUGAAAACCCAGGGCUCAACCCUGGGCGUGCGGUGGGUACGGGCAGGCAAGAGUGCGGUAGGGGAGAUUGGAAUUACUGGUGGAGCGGUGGAAUGCGCAGGUAACAGGAGGAACACCGAUAGCGGAGACAGAUCUCUGGGCCGCUACUGACGCUGAGGAGCGAAAGCAUGGGGAGCGAACA